GAUGAACGCUAGGCGAUAGGGCUUAACACAUGCAAGUCGAGGGGCAGCUAAUUUUAGCUUUAAGAUUGAGGGCGACCGGGCGCACGGGUGCGUAACGCGUAUGCAACUUACCUUAUAGAGGGGGAUAGCCCGUUUAAGACGGAUUAAUACCGCAUAUACAAACAGCUCGGCAUUGAGUAAUUUGGAAAUGAAUUUCGCUAUAAGAUAGGCAUGCGUCCCAUUAGCUAGUUGGUGAGGUAACUGCUCACCAAGGCGCGAUGGGUAGGGGAACUGAGAGGUUGAUCCCCCACACUGGUAAUGAGACACGGACCAGACUCCUACGGGAGGCAGCAGUGAGGAAUAUUGGUCAAUGGACGCAAGUCUGAACCAGCCAAAUCGCGUGAAGGAUGACUGUCUUAUGGAUUGUAAACUUCUUUUAUACGGGAAUAAUCACAGAUACGUGUAUCUGUUUGAAUGUACCGUACGAAUAAGCAUCGGCUAACUCCGUGCCAGCAGCCGCGGUAAUACGGAGGAUGCGAGCGUUAUCCGGAUUUAUUGGGUUUAAAGGGUGCGUAGGUGGUCUGAUAAGUCAGCGGUGAAAUCUCCGAGCUCAACUCGGACACUGCCGUUGAAACUGUUAGACUUGAGUGUAGAUGAGGUAGGCGGAAUGCGUGGUGUAGCGGUGAAAUGCAUAGAUAUCACGCAGAACUCCGAUUGGGAAGGCAGCUUAUUAAGGUACAACUGACACUGAAGCACGAAAGCGUGGGUAUCAAACAGG
rnacentral:rRNA from 1 species